rnacentral:rRNA from 1 species
CACGUAGGGCGCAAGCGUUGUCCGGAAUUAUUGGGCGUAAAGAGCUCGUAGGCGGUCUGUUGCGUCUGCUGUGAAAACCCGGGGCUUAACCCCUGGCUUGCAGUGGAUACGGACAGACUAGAGGUAGGUAGGGGAGAAUGGAAUUCCCGGUGUAGCGGUGAAAUGCGCAGAUAUCGGGAGGAACACCGGUGGCGAAGGCGGCUCACUGGACCGGUACUGACGCUGAUGCGCGAAAGCGUGGGGAGCAAACGGG